AGAGUGAACGCUGGCGGCAGGCCUAAUACAUGCAAGUCGAACGGCAGCACGGCAGAGCUUGCUCUGUGGGUGGCGAGUGGCGGACGGGUGAGGAAUACAUGGGAAUCUGCCCAGUCGUGGGGGAUAACGUAUGGAAACGUACGCUAAUACCGCAUGCGCCCGUUCGGGGGAAAGCCGGGGACCUUCGGGCCUGGCGCGAUUGGAUGAGCCCAUGUCGGAUUAGCUAGUUGGCGGGUAACGCCCACAAGGCGACGAUCCGUAGCUGGUCUGAGAGGAUGAUCGAGCCACACUGGAACUGAGACCACGGUCCAGACCUCCGAGGGAGCAGCAAGUAGGAAUAGUGGACAAGUGGGCAC
rnacentral:rRNA from 1 species